rnacentral:tRNA from 1 species
GCUUAAUUAGUUUAAUUAGAAUGUUGGUUUGUGAUAUCAGAGGUGUAUUAUAUAUAUAUUAGGUU